UCAGAUGGUCGGAUGGCCGCCGCCGCGCUUGAGGCGCGGGGGAGGAAAGUCCGGGCUCCAUGGAAACACGGUGCCGGGUAAUACCCGGCGGGGGCGACCCUCGGGAAAGUGCCACAGAAAGCAAACCGCCCGUCCCUUCGGACGACGGGUAAGGGUGAAAGGGUGCGGUAAGAGCGCACCGCGCCCCCGGCAACGGGGGCGGCAGGGCAAACCCCACCGGGAGCAAGACCAAGUAGAGGCGGCGCCCUCCGGGCCCGGAGACGGGCCGGAGACGGCGGGUUUCCGCGCCGGCCGCCUGGGUCGGUCGCUCGAGGCGUCCGGUGACGGGCGCCCUAGAUGAAUGGCCAUCCCCCGGUCCGGGCCGCGCCCUCUCCGGGGACAGAACCCGGCUUACAGACCGUCUGACGCG
rnacentral:RNase_P_RNA from 1 species